AUGAUCUUGGCUCACUGCAGCCUCGACUUCUUGGGCUCAAGUGAUCCUCCCAUCUCAGCCUCCUGUGUCAGUCUAACCACAGGUAUGUACCACCAUGCCUGGCUAUUUUUUUGUUGAGCUGGGCUCUCACUUUGUUGCCCAGGCUGGUCUUGAACUCCUCAGCUCAAGCAAUCCUUCCCACUCAGCCUCCCGUAGUUUUGGGAAUAACAGGCGUGCACCACUGCACCUGCUCCAGCCACUUGUAUAAAACCACUGACCUGUGUGUGGAGGACAGGCCAGGUGUGUGCUCACUGCACUGGGAAGAUAUGUCAUCAUGUGACUUUCCCAUUUUCCAUUUCUCUUUUUCUGCUUUUCUCAAAAACCAAUAGAAGACUGGGUGCGGUGGCUCACACCUGUAAUCCCAGCACUUUGGGAGGCUGCAGCUGGCGGAUCACAAGGUCAGGAGUUUGAGACCAGCCUGGCCAACAUGAUGAAACCCCGUCUCCACUAAAAAUACAAAAAUUAGCUGGGUGUGAUGGUGGGUGCCUGUAAUCCCAGCUACUCAAGAGACAGGCAGGAGAAUUGUUUGAACGCUGGAGGUUGAGGUUGCGGUGAGCCGAGAUCGUGCCAUUGCACUCCAGCGUGGGCAAUGGCAAGACUCUAUCUCAAAAACACUAUUAGAAAAUGCCCUGGAGGUGGCAGAGGGUUGUAGAUAUGUGAGGCCAACCCCCAGGGUGGCCCUGUCCACCUCUCCAUUGAGAAUGGCUGCCAGGCUUCCCACUAGCCUCUGAAGAUGACGGUCUGGUGUAAGGAGAAGUGCAGGUGCCUGGUUCUGAGCACCUUGGAAUUUCUGGCUGCACAUCCUUUGGUGCCCUCCCUUCCACCCGACAAGGAGCUUCCAGCCUGUUUUGAUUUCCUGUUUGUGGACCAGAAACACAUUUUUCCAAAUGAUGAGCAAAUAGAGUGAUGUCCUUUGUAAUGCUGCCCUGGGGCCUCUUCCUCAUCCUGGCAGAAGCAGCCUGGAUACCAUGCGGCGGCCGACACUGUGCCCUUGCUCAGGUGUGCCGUCCCUUCCUUCUCCCUCAGUCUCCUCUCCACGCCCAAGUCGGUUUCCAGCCGAUGGUCUUUACGGCAUUCCCAGUACAGCCAGGCACCAAGAGGCAAUACCCAACGCCUGGCUUGGCCAUGUUAACGAUUGUAUAGACAUAUAUUUUUAAAUAACUUUUAUGUAAUACUUUUCUAGAAUAGUAAGUUCUUGUUAACUGUCACAGAUGUGCUUCUAGAAACGUACCGGGUGUUGUUACUUCCAUUGAGUGUGUCCAUGGUCGUGGUCUGUGCCUUUGUAAACAGAACACUUGAACCACCUCCCGAAUUGGGUCAUCUGCUUCCUGAAAUUGACACUUAAGAGAUGUGCAUCUCUAACUUUCAAGGAAACUUCCCCACUAAAUGGCAUGAAAAGGUUUAAAUAAAAUCCAAGAGUCCCAAUUCCUUCUGUAACAGUGUUAAAAUAAUCUGUCUGCGUGGAAAGAUGA